rnacentral:rRNA from 1 species
GAUGAACGCUGGCGGCGUGCUUAAUACAUGCAAGUCGAGCGAACAGACGAGGCGCUUGCUCCUCUGACGUUAGCGGCGGACGGGUGAGUCACACGUGGAUACCCUACCUAUAAGACUGGGAUAACUUCGGAAAACCGGAGCUAAUCCCGGAUAAUAUAUUGAACCGCAUGGUUCAAUAGUGAAAGACGGUUUUGCUGUCUCUUCUAGAUGGAUCCGCGCCGGAUUAGGUGGUUGGUGAGUUAACGGCCUAUCAAGGCAAGGAUGCGUAGGAGACCUGCGAGGCGGAUAGGCCACACUGGAACUUGGCCACGGUCCAUACUCCUACGGGAGGCAGCAGUAUCGAAUCGUCCGCAACGGUCGAAAGCUUUACGGAGCAACGCCGCGUGAGUUAUGAAGGUCUUCGGAUCGUAAUACCCUGCUAUGAGGGAAGAACAAAUUUGGAAGUAACUAUGCACGGCUUGACGGUACCUAAUCAGAAAGCCACGGCUAACUACGUG